rnacentral:rRNA from 1 species
AAAUGAAUUGACGGGGCCCGCACAAGCGGUGGAGCAUGUGGUUAAUUCGAUGCAACGCGAAGAACCUUACCUGGUCUUGACAUCCCGGAGACCCUUAGGAAACUAGGGGGUGCUUCCAUCUGGAAGAAUCUGGAGACAGGUGCUGCAUGGCUGUCGUCAGCUCGUGUCGUGAGAUGUUGGGUUAAGUCCCGCAACGAGCGCAACCCUUGCCUUUAGUUGCCAGCAGUUCGGCUGGGCACUCUAAAGGGACUGCCGGUGUUAAACCGGAGGAAGGUGGGGAUGACGUCAAGUCCUCAUGGCCUUUAUGACCAGGGCUACACACGUACUACAAUGGCCGAUACAAAGGGCAGCGACACUGCGAGGUGAAGCCAAUCCCGUAAAAUCGGUCUCAGUCCGGAUUGGAGUCUGCAACUCGACUCCAUGAAGUUGGAAUCGCUAGUAAUCGUGGAUCAGCAUGCCACGGUGAAUACGUUCCCGGGCCUU